GAGCCAUCUUCGAACGCAGCUUAAAACCUUCCUGACGCGAGCUCAAUCCGUGUCCUAAUUGGCUGGAUUCGUGUUGUGGCCCCGCCUCGCGCGGACAUUUGAAAACGACUUCGUCAAGAAGAUAGGACCGAGGGAACUGAGAAAACAUCUAUCACCUUUCUCUCUGUAGACAUGGCUCCCAGGAAAAGGACCACGAGGCAGCGGAAGAACAACCAGAACAUGGAAAAACUGGACGUUUUCCUGGAGGACUUCGACAGCGAAG